rnacentral:ncRNA from 1 species
CAAAAGCUUGGUCCUGACUUUACUAUCAGCUUUGGCCAAAUUUACACAUGCAAGUAUCCGCAACCCCGUGAGAAUGCCCUACAAUUCCCUCUACCCAGGGAACAAGGAGCUGGUAUCAGGCACAACUUAUUGGUUUGCCCACGACACCUUGCUCAGCCACACCCCCAAGGGAACUCAGCAGUGAUAAACAUUAAGCCAUGAGUGCAAACUCGACUUAGUUAAAGCCAAGCAGAGCCAGCAAAACUCGUGCCAGCCGCCGCGGUUAUACGAGGGGCUCAAGUUGAUAGACCGUCGGCGUAAAGAGUGGUUAGGAGACCUAAAAAACUAAGGCCGAACAUCUUCAGGGCUGUCAUACGCACCCGAAGACAUGAAGAACCACUACGAAAGUGGCUUUAAAAUUUCUGAACUCCACGAAAGCUAGGACACAAACUGGGAUUAGAUACCCCACUAUGCCUAGCCCUAAACACAAGUAGCAAUCUUCACACCUGCUACUCGCCCGGGAACUACGAGCAUAAGCUUAAAACCCAAAGGACUUGGCGGUGCUUUAGACCCACCUAGAGGAGCCUGUUCUAGAACCGAUAACCCCCGUUCAACCUCACCCUUCCUUGUAUUAACCCGCCUAUAUACCGCCGUCGUCAGCUUACCCUGUAAAGGACACAUAGUAAGCAAAAUUGGCAUAGCCCAAAACGUCAGGUCGAGGUGUAGCGUAUGGAAGGGGAAGAAAUGGGCUACAUUCACUGGCACAGUACAUACGAACGAUGAAUUGAAACCAGACAUCCGAAGGAGGAUUUAGCAGUAAGAAGGAAAGCAGAGCGUUCCCCUGAAACUGGCCCUGAAGCGCGCACACACCGCCCGUCACUCUCCCCGAGCUAACAUAACAAACUAUACAUAAAAAUUAAAUAACUGCAACAAAGGGGAGGCAAGUCGUAACAUGGUAAGUGUACCGGAAGGUGCACUUGGAAAAA